rnacentral:piRNA from 1 species
UGCCUGUGCUUGGAGGACUCCUCUGGAU